rnacentral:misc_RNA from 1 species
AAGAGACAGCUUAGAGGAAGUAAAAGUCGUAACAAGGUUUCCGUAGGUGAACCUGCGGAAGGAUCAUUACAAUAAUGGACUCUGUCCAGUACACUCUCGUGUACCCUCUGUGAACCAUCUGGUUUCUUUGGCGAUGUCUCACGACUCGUCAAACUAAAACUCUGAUAAUCUGAUACUGUCUGAGUUUUAUGAAAUACAUAAAAACUUUCAACAACGGAUCUCUUGGUUCCA